rnacentral:misc_RNA from 1 species
GAUGAAGAACUCAGCGAAAUGCGAUACUUGGUGUGAAUUGCAGAAUCCCGUGAACCAUCGAGUCUUUGAACGCAAGUUGCGCCCGAAGCCAUUAGGCCGAGGGCACGCCUGCCUGGGCGUCACACGUCGUUGCCCCCCCAUCUACUCCUUCGGGAUUGCGGGGGGCGGAUGAUAGCCUCCCGUGCGCCUCGUCGCGCGGUUGGCAUAAAUGCCAAGUCCUCGGCGACGCACGCCACGACAAUCGGUGGUUGCGAAACCUCGGUUGCCCGUCGUGUGCGGUCGUCGCGCAUCGAGGGCUCGAAAAAAUUGCCGGGCUCCGGCUCGGCUUUCAACGCGACCCCAGGUCAGGCGGGGUUACCCGCUGAAUUUAAGCAUAUCAAUAAGCGGAGGA